UACGUAGGGUGCAAGCGUUGUCCGGAAUUAUUGGGCGUAAAGAGCUCGUAGGCGGUUUGUUGCGUCGGCUGUGAAAUCCCGAGGCUCAACCUCGGGUCUGCAGUCGAUACGAGCAAACUAGAGUGUUGCAGGGGAGACUGGAAUUCUUGGUGUAGCGGUGAAAUGCGCAGAUAUCAGGAGGAACACCGGUGGCGAAGGCGGGUCUCUGGGCAACAACUGACGCUGAGGAGCGAAAGCGUGGGGAGCGAACAGG
rnacentral:rRNA from 1 species